AGUGCUGGGGACUUGCCUUUGUCUUUUCAAAUUGCUUUGAGAUGAGCUGAAUGCAGAUCCCUGCCCCUGGUGUGAUGGGGUGGGGGUGGGGGUGGGAGACGGAUGGAGCAGGAGAGAAGUGGUUCUCCCACCCAGCUGCGGAGGAAUGAAGCGCAGCCCGGGAGACACGAAGGCCCCCACAAUCUGCUUUCUGGCCACAGAAGCAUCUUUUCCAUCAGAUGGACUCAACGCCCUUGGCAGCAGAUUCCUGAGACAUAGCCUCGGGCGAGGAUUUAAAAAAAGAACGGCUAGGCCCAGCCUGAGGAUGGGAACUGCAAGCCAUUCCAGAGAGAUGAGUCUGUCAUAUGGUCAGAGACGAAACUGGCGGGUCCCCAGGGCUCACUUGGGAGGCUGCCCUCUACCCGGCCUGACCCAAAGGGACCUCCAGAGUCACGCACCACGGCACUGUUCAAGAAACCCAAGGCUUGUUCAGAAGAGAGUACUGGGGCCGAGAGGAGAGGCCAGAGACUAAGCAGGAUGAACAGCCGUUGGGAUGGCCAGAGGAGAGGACAGUACGGGCGCUGCCACCUGAAGCGGAGUGGAGGUUUACGCAGCUGAGGGAGCAGGCCGUUCUGCGUCUCUCUGGGCCAUCGGGACCAGGAGAAGGAGGGACACCGUGGCAUGCUGCCUGACCGACACACAUUCUGCUCUGUGCCUCCAUUCAGAGAGUAUGCCGGGGGCAUCUCCUGCAAG